GUUUCAUAGAAUGACAAGGAGGACAUACUGUCGCGGUUUCUGUUGGAGAGUGAGAAGAAUCCGGAGGAGAUGAAUGAUAAAUAUCUAAGCGAAAUAAUUUUGAACUUCAUGAUUUCUGGGAAAGAUACCAGUGCAAAUUCACUCUUAUGGUUCUUCUACAUGCUCAGCAAGAACCCUCUAACAUAAGUUAUUCUUUUUCGAACAAGCUUCUAGUGCUUGCCCUCUUUUGUGUCCCUUUCAGAUUUGAUUCUGCUUUGGAGUAUUGGGACAUUUGGUUUAAAUUUCAAUUGGUAUUCUUCUGUCAUCUCUCUGACCUUGUUUUUGUGUCAAUGAUGCAGGAGUCCAUUCCUUCAACUUUCUUGGUUUGGGAUAUCAAGUGAACUGGCCCAUCAGCUUUAUUUCGACUCCUGGUGCAUUGAAAAUAUAUGCUGAGAUAUUGAGUUUUUUGAUACUAGUGAAACUGGCUUUGUUUUCAUUGGCUGAUGUGUGGCGCCAAUUGAAGGUGUGGAUUUUUUUAGUUGAUUUUUUAUUUAUUUUCAGGUAGAGUGCUUGUUAGAGUUCCUUUUCAAUAUGUUUUUCUGUGUGUUGGCAUUAAGACUGCAUAAAUCCUAUUCUCUGAGAUGCGUUUGAUUGAAUUCCUAUUCUCUGUGGCAGGGUUGACGAAAUAAAAAUCACUAAUGCUUUACAAUAUGCAGCUAGUAUUGAGUACGUUAUAAGGUGGAGUACCAAUAUUAGUCUUUGGUCAAACUGGGGUUGCAUAAGCUGAUUCUCCAAAUGAGGCCCUUCCUCUUAAUUGCAGACCUAAUACUGGUGUUGCGUAGCUGACCAAAGAUAAAUUCAAGUUUCAUCUCAGCAAAGAAAUUGAAGCUUCAAAUGUGUUCACUUGAGGUUGUCAUUAGCUGGGAUGAGUGAGAG